ACACACGUGUUACAAUGGCAGGUACANAGGGGUGCUACCGGGUGACCGGAUGCCGAUCUCGAAAACCUGUCCCAGUUCGGACUGGAGUCUGCAACCCGACUCCACGAAGUUGGAUUCGCUAGUAAUCGCGCAUCAGCCAUGGCGCGGUGAAUACGUUCCCGGGCCUUGUACACACCGCCCGUCAAGCCAUGGGAGCCGGGGGCGCCUGAAGUCCGGGACCGCGAGGACCGGCCUAGGGCGAAACUGGUGACUGGGGCUAAGUCGUAACAAGGUAAC
rnacentral:rRNA from 1 species